AUGGCUCGUCCCCGACAGCGAGCGCUCGAUGGCGGGGCCGCCCCGCAGAGGCGGCCUGGCUCCUCGGCUGGCCAACGCCUUUCCCAGUCCACGAGGGCAGGGCGAAGAAGGCGCGGCUGGGUAGGAGGUCGGUCCUUACGCGCUGCCAGUCGCCGGUCUGCCUGUGCCACCGCUCUGCCCUCUCCGGGCCGGGCCGCGGGAGAGGAGAGGAUGUCGGAGCCUCGACGGCAUGUGGCACGACGGGCAAGGUGUCAGGGCGGAGCGGCGCUGCAGGGCCGAGGGCGCAGCGAAGGGCGGCGGGAGGGGCCCGCUCAGCCCCGCGGCAGAAGUACUGAAGUCCUAAAUCACCAAUUCUUCUAACUUUCUGGCCAUUGAUCCGCGGGCAUUCGUAGUUCAACAUCAAAGGUAAGAACAAAACAUUAUUCAAUCAUUCGAUAGCUGGCGGAAAACGUUAACUUCCAUGCUGCUGAGCUUUAUCAGAUUUUUUUUUUUUGGGGGGGGGGGGGAAGGAGAAAAGUUAGAUAGGGUUAUUUAAAAAGCAAACACAGAGUUCUCCAAACUUUGAGGCUCCUUUCUGAGAGGGAAGGCAGGAGACCUGGCUGGCGGCAGCCGCUGCGCUCUCUUCUCCGCAGCCUGCGCGUUCCCGGCACCGCCGCUCGCUCCUCCGAACGCUCCCGGAGCCCUGGCCCUGCGGGGCCCCCGGGCCCCCCGCCCUCGGCCUUCCGCUGUUCCCCGUAUCUUCUCUGGCUCCCCCAGACUUCAGCCGGCGAUGGGACCCGGCUCCCACCCGCGUUCACUGCAUGCUGUCCCAGGGAAAGGCUGGCACCGCGUCCAGACUUUGGCGGCGGGUCCCCCUGCCCCAGCCGAUGCGGGGAGAGACACGAGUGCUUCGGCCGAGGCGGGGAAAGCCGCACUUAGCACUGCUUUUCGGGGCCGGCCCGGAGGUCGGAUGUGGAACGAAGGGAUGAUUUCUCUUACCCUGCCCGGGGAUCCGCUGCUUUUCCCGGCACUAUUUUCAGGGGCGGCCCAGAGCUCGGGACACCCGAGCGCUCGGCGGGCGGGUGGGCUGUCACUGCCACUCGGAGGGCAGGAGGGGCGCAGCGGCAGCCGAUCUCCUGUGGGGACCUGACCCUCCUCCAAACCCCGAGUCAGCGCUGGGACGGCUGCAUGCAGGCUCGAGGCAGCCCCUGCUGCCCACCCUACUCUCCCCGGGCGCUCCCAGGACUAACGAAAACCUGUCGCCAGGGCUGCCCGGUGGCCGUGAUGCUCCCGCCGGUCCCCAGUGUUGCCCUGCCCGGGAUGGGGGGGCUCUGCUCCCCACUAACCCCCCCGUAGCCCCCUUUUUUUUGACCCUCCGGCGCCACCGUAAAAGGCAGAGCUCUUAAGGGAGCACGGCAGGGAGGGCGGCGCCGCGCAGGGAACCAGCCGCGGACGGGCGGCGGGGGAGGCGGAGGAGGGGGGUGUCGGGGCACUUUGGGUGCCCGCCGCCGCCACCUCCUUCCCCGCCGCCCGUCCGCCGCCCGCCCCCCGCGCCAGAAGGGAUUCCGUCGGUCCACCUUAACACGGGUCUCGUUCCACCGCCGGGCGGGCGGCGAGGGCUCAGCGGCGCGGGGCCGCCGGCUCAUUCCCCCGCGCCCCCCGGGCCGGGCAGGGGGCGCUGCGGGUCCUCGGGGCGCCCGCCGGGCAUGGCCCCGCCGGGAGACGCGCCCGCGCCGCCGCCGGCCCCAGGGAGCGGCGCGGUGCACCUUGCAUCAGAGAGAGAGAGCCUGUCUGCCGGGUGACCGCUCGCCGCCCCGGGACUGGUGAGGGGCUCGAUCCCGCCCCACUGCGACUUCCCGGCCGGAGCUUUGCCCGCACCAUUGGCUGCACUUAGGUAGCGCUGUCAUGCUCUACCCGGAGCUCCGCUAUUAAAUAAUUUAGCGGUGGCGGCAGCAGCUCUUCUCUGCCCGCUUGUCACCUUCUCCCGGCCCCCACCAUCAAUUAUUCAGGACCACCCCGGUAACUGCCUGGAGCCGGGCGCGGAGAACAGGGCGACGGCGGGGCCCUACCUGGGGCCGGUCGCUGGCUCUUGGCGGCCCGGAGGAAGCGCGACCGGCCCUCGGGGCGGUAGCCCCCCCUACACCGCGAAAAGUUAUUGUCGCCUCGCCCCGGCGGGGAGAGACUGCGGGAGGAUCCCUGCCGCCGCUCGGCUCCCAGGGGGACGGGGGUGGGGGGCGGGUGGCAGGAGGCGUCGAGGCCGCACGGGCUGCAUCGGACUAACCCGGGCGUCUGGACUGAGCGCCGGUAGCAGCUUUGCUCCUCGUCGGUCAGUUCGGCGUCCCCAACUCCGACUUCCCCACUAUCCCACACGCCCCCCCUCCCCCUCCGCCCUUCCUCGUCUCCCGGCUCCUCCUCUCGUUGCCUCUCGGCCCUCCCCCAGUCCGACUGCCCCUGCCCUUGCGCCUUUCUGCCCUGGGUCUCUCCUGUCACCACCGCGUCGUCCUGCCACGCUUCCCCUUCCCCACCCAGCCCACCCUACGCCCUCCCUUCGCGCGGCACCGCGCUCCUUCUUCGCGUGUGAGAUGUAUUAUUUAUUUAUUGGUGUUUAAUUUCCUGCCAGGUGGGUUUCUGCCUCCCACCCUUGCGCGCAGCGGGGCCGGGGCUCCGCGGGGCGGGCCGGGCCGGGAGGAGGUGGGCUGCUGCGCGCCCGUCUGUGCCCGAUUCCGAGGUAGCAGCGAGACUUGAUUUUUGCGGGGGGGCGGGGAGGGGGAGGGGUGUCAAGGCGAGGAGGGGUGGCGAUGUUUGGGAUGCACAGCCCUGGGACGGGAACGCCGCGCAGACAGACAGGCAGACACACACACAGAGGCAUGCACAUACACCAAACCCGAAAGCAAGGACAACCCCAGAAAGGACUCACUUUGCCUCGAUGACUCAACGCAACUAAUAACCGUUUCUCCGCUCUCUGUGGCGAGUCCCUCCUGCCGCUGCUGUCGCUGGCAGAGGAGGGAGCGAUUGAAAGUGACACACCGGGGGCCGCCGCCGCCACUUCCCCGCGCCGCCAGGCACUCGCCGCCGCCGCGGAGCUCGGGAGAGCGGCGCUCCCUCCUCUUCUCCUCCCCCUGUCUCCCCCGGU
ensembl:lncRNA